CUGAAUGUAACUUAGAGCUGUAGUUUCAUGAUUUUACAUGGGUGAAAUUGCUAUGCGGAUCCGAAAGGGUUAUUGAAUUACCCUCCUUUUCUCUGGGCUCAUUCUCCCUCCUACGCACUUCCUGCUGAUGAUAUUUUGAGGGCGGGCUGUCGAGACACUAAUGGUGGUAGUGUAUGAUGAAAUAAUUUGUUGUGUCCGUACCUGAUUUUGCCAUUUUGGUGAAGAAGACCCAUUUUCAGUUCUUCAGGAAAAAAUAUAAUGGUCAUGUCAGCUGCUUAUUGGAAAAAAUAUUGCAUGCCAAUGGAAUCUCCUUUUCAACGCGUGGCUCUAUUUGUUGAUGUUCACAAGACAAGCAGUUCGAUUUCAGAGCAUAAACUGAUGAAGCAUUUCUGUUUUGAAACAGAAUCUUCUCAUAAUGAAUUCUUGUAUUUUAUCCCAGCACUGUUAGUUUGAUUAGAAUUGGCUUGAUUACUGUUAUAACACAACUAGUUCUAGGAAUGUUACUUGUACUUGUAU